rnacentral:rRNA from 1 species
AUACGGAGGGUGCAAGCGUUGUUCGGAAUUAUUGGGCGUAAAGAGCAUGUAGGCGGUUCGUUAAGUCUGAUGUGAAAGCCCGGGGCUCAACCCCGGAAGUGCAUUGGAUACUGGCAAACUUGAGUACGGGAGAGGAAAGUGGAAUUUCGAGUGUAGGGGUGAAAUCCGUAGAUAUUCGAAGGAACACCAGUGGCGAAGGCGGCUUUCUGGACCGAUACUGACGCUGAGAUGCGAAAGCGUGGGGAGCAAACAGGAUUAGAAACCCCAGUAGUCC